AUUUUAAACACCAUAAAAACUGCAUCUUGGGAGUGAAAAAUGAGAGUGUUUUUUUUGGGGCCAAAAAACAUUCCCAGACCGGGACGGAGCACAUCCAGAACGGGAUCCGCAGAGACAGGCAGCAGCGCAGGGAUAAAAGGUACCUGAUUAAUGGCUCCGCCCCCGGCACAGGAAGAAGAGGGGGGCCUGGAGCUGACAGGCCUCCUAGGAACACAGAGCGGCCUUUUCAUGUGCGGGUUGCUUGCUAAUACUGCAGAAGUGACCUGUAAAAAGAACAAGUAAUAACAGUAGCAAAAAAGUAACAACAAGAAAGGAAUGAACAUUUCUGUCAUCAGCAGCAGCCCCCACAGGAGUACACAGAGCACCACAGCUAGAAGUCACAAUGCAUAUUUUCUUUUUUUUAACUCAAAGCUUUCAUGUUAAUAAGCCAAUUGAAAGCAUAGUUUAUCCAUUCUCUAUAACUACUUGCACAAUGUAAAUGGUUUUUAACAAAAAAGUAAAAAAAAAAAUAUUUUCAGUGUACAAUUCUAUGCUGAAUUGUACACUGAAAAUAUUUUUUUACUUUUUUUUGUACGUUAUUUUGUAAACUUUUUCCAAUGGCAAACAAGCAACAAAAAAUGUAUGCAACCUAUACAUGGCCCAGUAAUAGUGUCCAUAUACCUUAGAUUAAAGUCGGUCAAUCCUGCUAAAUAAGUGUAUAACUCAUUGUACUCCUGACUUUCCACCGACAGAUAAUGUGUAAAGAGUAGGGUCGGACAGUUAUUGAAAAUGUAUGGCCAUCUUAAGACUUUUUUUUUUUCUAUAAAUAGUUUAUUAAUAUUACAAGGAAUUGAGAUUGUAUCUGUGUAAACAAUGAGCAGGUCACUCAGGGAAUCACUAGUACAAGGUAUCUGGGGUGGAGCAUUAUUAUACCCAACCAGACCCCUAUAUGGGUGUUGUACAGUGAUAUUAUUGGUUAUACUAGUAUGUGUAGUAUGUAUGUGGAGAGAUUAUUUGGCCCUUGUAUAUUUUA